UCAAUGCCAUGGACCAUCUGCUAUGGUUUCAAUGUUUGUUUUCCCCCAAACUCAUCUGUUGAAAUUCUAACUUCAUGGUAAUGGUAUUUGGAAAUGGGGCCUUGAAGAUGUGCUUGGAUCCUGAAGGUAGAGAUUAUACGCUCUUAUAGAAGAAGCCCCAGAGAGCCCCUUCAUUCUUCCCACCAUGUGAGAACUCAUUAAAGAGAAAUCUGUAUAUCACUCAGGAAUUUGGUCCUCACCAGACAUCAAAUAUGUUGGCAUUUUUUUGUCUCAGACUUCUAGCAUCCAGAACCUGGAGAAAUAGAAGUGUGCUUAAGCCAUCCAGCCUAUAGUAUCUUGUUGGAGUCCCAAAUGGACUAGGGCUUCCCCAGGCUCCUGACCUUCCCCACACUCUGGCCCAGGGAUUCAGGCUUCUCCAACCCACACCUCGGCCUGUCUGCAUUCACAGAUAUUGCCAUGGAGUCAGGUCAGUAGCCUUUGUAGAUCAGCGUGGAAAACAGAUCUUUGUGAUUUGUUUCCUUACUAUUCAAAUAUUUCUUUUUAAAAGAGCAGAUUUGUGUUUUGUCUUUCAGCCUGAAACUAUUUAGUUAUCACAUUCAUGGGAAGAUGCUUUCUCCUGCUCAGUUAUGGUUGCCCUCCCAGUGGAAACUGUAGCCCUGCCCAUAGCCUAGAUGGAUGGACACAGAGGAAAUGGACCCUGCAGGUCCCUGUGGUGGGAAAGUGGGAGAAAUCCCCUUUUGUUGUUAAGUGAGACACAGUAGUACAACAACAUAAAACAGCAAAGGACUGAUCUUUUGAGCCUGAACUGCCCGCCUUGAAUUUAUUCAGUUUGCCCUUGAACCAAGGAGACUAGGGACAGAAGAACCUGAGCAUCUGGGGACCUAGUGAGGGACAGGCCCCUUUACCUACGUCCUGACUUGUAUAUCUCAUUGAAUGCUUUAGAUUUGAGGAUUCACAUAUCAUAGUGACAGAUUCUGGACAACACUUGCCUGGGGACCACUAGAUGCAGAAUCUAAGAGAACAGGGGAUUAGGUAAUUUGGCACCCUGAACAGGAUACACUGUGCAAAGUCCCAGGCCUCUAUUGCUGCCCUCAGUACUAGGAGAAAGUUGCAUAGGGCUUUGGACUCACUGCUGGGAGCCCCAGUUUUCUCAUUUGCCCAAUGAGGGAGUUUGUAAGGCAGCUCUAUGGUCAUACUGGCUCUCAGCAUCUCUAGUUAGUCAGAGAAGUGUCUCAACCACAGAAAGAAUUUUCAUAGAAACCUUGAUGCUUGUCCACUAGAGAACAGCAUCCACAUUCGUGACUAAAUAGUUUACCACACUUCAGUCAUGCUGAUUUUUAUGUGAAAUCUAGUAUCUCCAUCCCUGUUUCCCAAACCUCUCAAAAUGAAAUUUCUGAAAAUUUUGGAGAAAAUUCUUUCUUGUUUUCUGUGGAUACUUUAAAAACAUUUUCUUGCUAUGUAGGUAUGUAAUGAAAUAUCGCUGAGUUUGAAAUGAGAAAGAAAUUCUGCUGCAUUUGAAAACACAGAUCAACCUUGAAGACUGUGCUCAGUAAACAAUGCCAUUCACAGAAAGACAAAUGCUGCUUGACCUCACUUAUAUGUGAAUCCUAAACUGGUAGAAUUCAAAGCAGUAGAGAGUGGAGUGGUGGCCACCAGCUGCUGGAGUGGGCAGAAGGGAAUAAUGUCAGUGGGCUAAAACUUGGAGUUAUAAGAUAAAUAUGUUCCAGAGAACUAAUGCAUAGCACGAUGACUUCAGUUAAUAAUAGAGUAAGGUACACUUGAAAUUUGCUAGGGGAGUAAAUUUCAAGUGUUCUCAGCACAGAUGCAUACACAAAGGUAACUAUGUGAGGUGACAGAUGUAUUAAUUAACUCAAUUGUGAGAUAUAUAUAUAUAUAUAUAUAUACACACACACACACACACAUAUGUCACACUGUACAAUUUGAAUGUCUACAAAUUUAUUUGUUAAUCAUACCUCGAUAAAGCUAAAAAAUGAAAGCAAAUAAUAAUAAUAAUAAACAACUAAAAGUGAUGUCUUAGAAUACCAGUAGAAGAAUAUGAAGAGGUUUUGUGGAGGGGAAUGAGAAUCCUGAUGGAGUAGCCCCAAGGAAGUACAGCCAGAAGGUUUUGGUGAAACUCUAGCGAGGGAAUCUUGUUGUUCAUUUUUAACUAGGACUAAUUUCUCUGUUUCCCUCCUGUUUCUCUUGGAGCGAUUCUGCUGCAUCGGCCAGAGCUGUGGAGAUUCUGGGGGAGCUCCUGUAGGCAUCUAGUGUCAGGAAGACAUCAAAGGAGAGCCGUUACUGAGGAAGCAGCCAACAGAUGCUGCUUCACGCGCCCUUUGCCAAGAGUCUCAGAGCUGGGAGUCUCUGGGGCCAAUUUAAAAGCAAGUUCCUGAGGAAAGAAGCCGGAAAGUUCUCUGAAAACAGUAGUGGGAGCUAAUCUCUAAUAAAACAAAACUCGACCAUUCAUCUGGAAAGAUUUCAUACAUCAAAUACAAGUUAAAUAAAAAAGACAAUUUGA